CGCAAAAACGUUUGUUUUGCAUCAGUAACAGUUGACGCCGGAGUGUUGAUAAUUGUUGCUAGGCAACAAGGCUCAGUCUAACUACGGUGACGAAAGAGGUCCAUACUGAGUGAUAACAGCAUACUCAGAGUUUUGCUCAUCUUCCUUGAGAAUUCUGAGCGGGAGGCCUGCAGGUGGGAUCUAGCUUCAGGGCUGGUGCUGGGGCCAGGGCCUGCCUCUUCUCUCCACCUCUGCAGGGGGGACAUGAAACACACACACUAUUUCAGGUCCCCCGAAGCCAUGUAGGAGAUCUGUGUGAGCCCUGGUGUGCUGGCCCCUCGCAUAGUAAUCAUGAUGUCAGCGUAAGGAACCUCAUGAUCACUCUGGCAAUCUAGCUCAAAACAGGAAAUGCGAUGUUUUGUACAGUAGAUGUUG